rnacentral:rRNA from 1 species
AUGAACGCUAGCGACAGGCUUAACACAUGCAAGUCGAGGGCAGCAUAGAAGUAGCAAUACGUUGGUGGCGACCGGCGCACGGGUGAGUAACGCGUAUGACAACCUACCUAUCAGGAGGGGAAUAACCCGGCGAAAGUCGGACUAAUACCGCAUAAAACAGGGGCACCGCAUGGUGAUAUUUGUUAAAGAAAUUCGCUGAUAGAUGGGCAUGCGUUCCAUUAGGUAGUUGGUGAGGUAACGGCUCACCAAGCCGACGAUGGAUAGGGGAACUGAGAGGUUGGUCCCCCACACUGGUACUGAGACACGGACCAGACUCCUACGGGAGGCAGCAGUGAGGAAUAUUGGUCAAUGGGCGAGAGCCUGAACCAGCCAUGUCGCGUGCAGGAAGACUGCCCCUAUGGGUUGUAAACUGCUUUUAUAGUAGAAGAAACACAUCUACGCGUAGAUGUCUGCCAGUAUACUAUGAAUAAGCAUCGGCUAACUCCGUGCCAGCAGCUGC